CCCUCUUUGGAAUCGUGGGCGAGCCGAGGCAGACGCAACCUCGCAUCGGCCCCAUUUUGGAAUCCGAGCCACAUCCCUUCCGCUCUCACCACAAACCCUAACAUGAAGAUGCCAAGCCGCAUAUUGCGGGACAAAGUGAACAUGGAGGUGAUCAAGCCGUGGAUUACGUUCAGCUGGGCAUGCUGCACUGUAUCUGUGUACCAUGUUGCGUCGUCCGAGAGAUGCAUCCUGAUGGUCGGAGCCAAAAUACCGUACAAUACCAGGUUUUUCGGAGGAGAUCAAACAUUUCAAGGCAGACUCUCUUGAAAACCGUUCAGGUUAGCAUUCUUUUCAGUAUUGCUAUUUAUUUUACUGUAUUCGUAAAGAGCUUUAAAUAAUCAGCUAGUUUUCUUU